GGCGAGUUAGCCAAGUGGUAAGGCAAUGGUCUGCAAAACCGUGAUCAUCGGUCCGAAUCCGAUACUCGCCU
rnacentral:tRNA from 1 species